rnacentral:rRNA from 1 species
CCCUAUGGGGUGCCCUGGAACGGCUCGAUGUCGCUCGGGUGGUUGUGCGACUCGACCUUGAAGGUCACGGCCCAGCCCUCGCCCACGUCGACGACGCCGGCGUUCUGGCCCAUGCCGACCAUGAGGCGCUCUUUCAUCUCGUCGGAGACCUUCUGGCCGAAGCGGCGCAGGUAGAUCUUCGACGACUUGUAGGAGCAGUGCUCCGACCACAUGACCGAGUACAUCGCCAACUCGCCCGACGUGGGCCGGCGCCCCCGGAUCGUCUUGAUCUGCUCGUACGCGUCAGGCUUGAGACCGAGCGCCGCGUAGGGCUGCUCUCUGUCGGGGGUCUCUACGGCGUGCUGGACGGUGUCUGCGACGGGGGUGCUCACGCGGCUGGACUCCAAGACUCGGGAUGCCGGCGGGGGAGC